rnacentral:tRNA from 6 species
GAUCCAGUCGCACAAUUGGCCGUGCAAUGGGCUCUUAACCCUUGUGAAUGUGAGUUCGAGUCUCACCUGGAUCAC